UUUACACUCCAUAUUGUCAUUUUCUGGAAAUGCGUUACACUACCCUUUUGUGUCUCGAAGUGGCUACAUGCCCGGACACAAAAUAAGUCACUAUAAGAGCCCGUCAAGCCUAACUGGUCUGUGCUUAUGUUGCCUUUUUCCAAUUCCAGUCAGGCAGAAAGUCGUGGACAAUGGCAACCUGCGACUCCAAUAGUUACACGCUAUGAUCGAUACGCUUGCAUUUCUAUAUUGUUCGUUAAUCGUUUGUUAUUUACUUGUCUGUCGCAGUUAGUUUUGUUGUGGAGUAUAUUUGUAAAAUGUACACAAUCUAAUAGCGUCGCUUUCUUCUAUAGGCGAUGACGUCAUUUGUGACAUUUUUAAUUGUGCACUAUUUUUUCCCCCUAUCGCGACUUGAUGUGACGUCAUUUUUACUUUUUGAACGUUUGGUGUUGUUACGCCAUAUUAGUAUUGAAACUAAAUGAAAGACAACUUGUACUUUUUGUGAUACUGAAUUUUUCCUUUGCUUUACAUUACUAGACAGCUUAAGCGAUUGCCUUGGAUUUAUUCUUGAUAUGACUCUUUCACCCCUGUUCAAGGGUUUCAGACUUCAGUGUUGGCGUUACGUGUUGAUACUUUGGGUUCUGGUAGGCCUACAACCCUGAACAUUGUUAUAAUCAUCGUUGAUGAUCAUUCAUCUUGGUAGGAAGAUUCUUGUAUACUUCUAUCAAGAAUUGAUGUUUAUAGACAGCUUGAACAGUACCUGUUACAGAGAAUCUUUGUUAUGAGUUGGAAAACUGAAAAGUUGUUGACGCAAUGUUAUCUAG
rnacentral:sRNA from 1 species